GCGGAGGGCUGCGGAGCGGCUACCUGAGGCCCUGAGCCGUGGAAAGAUGUGAUGGAGCGCAGGGAAAACAAAGUGCACGCCAUGAGAAGGCCGUCCCCCCUUGCCCCCCUUCCCCAGGCGGGCCCACCAGAAGCGGCCGGAGCGGGAGCCGCAGCCGGGCCACAGGGCUGUUUGAUUGCCUAAGCCUGGUGGCCAGACAAUAGGACCAGAAAGAAUGGCUGCUUCCUUCCUUCCUGUCGAGUGUUCUGCCUGAGUGAGCAAAUUCAAUAGCACUUCGCUUCGCAGCAACACCAGGCUCUCUCGCACAGGCGAAAAUCAACAAAGAGCCAUUCUCGGGCAUUUCCAACUGCACCUAAGCCAAGGCACUGAGCUGUGGAGCCAUCCGGCCUGGGGAGGGGAGCCGCGCAGGCACUGCUCUCGGCUGUGCGGCCAGGCACAGUAAACAUCCAGGUUAUUCUUUAUCGUGAAGCACUGCUUUCCCCCCCUCCCCAUAAUGUCAGGCAGCAGGCACUUUUGUUCCCCAUCCUACCCCCAACCCCUGCCUCUUAUUCUGUUUGUUGGUUUGGGGGAUAUUUUUUUUUUAUUAUUAUUUUUUUUUUUUUAAUUUUCCUGAUGAAUUCGCUGCUUUAAACCCCUCCAUGCAGGCUGCUUGAAGGGUGCUACGAGUUAUUCACACGUAACUAAACUAGAUGAAGGUGAUGCUGUGUAGAAAAUCUAAGCCUGCUGCCUUCUGCAGACUCAAGUGAUUGCACAUUUAAAUCUCAGACUGGCUGAAAAAAAAAAAAAUAGGUGCCAGUGAAUGAAAAUAUUUGAUAAAAGUGGGCAAGCAGAUGACUGUGACUAUGCUCAGUGUUGUGCCAAAAUAAGGAGGAGCAUCGUAUUGCUAAAAAGACAAGGACCCAGGACGUGCACCCCCAAAGCUGACAGAAGUCACAUUUUUUUAAAAGAAUUUGCAACUAAGGAUGAAGAAACUGAUUUAGAUCUAAGAACAGCACCACCGGGCUGUAUUCUGAAUGCCCCAAAUCUGGUAUGUGUUCAAAUUUUAUUUAUGCUGCCCCUUACUCGAUAUCCUCUGGAAAUGAUAUGCAGGUAGGUACCUUCCCCACUCCCUUCAACCAGAAGUGUGCAAUACCUUAAGAUUUCAGAGUCAAGCCUGAAGAUUCCACACAUUCAGGUAUAUCACAUUAAUUCUGAGGUCAAAGCCAAACAAACUAUCAGAUUCUAGCAUCUGUGAAAGUGGUUGCUGGCCAUGAGCUGCUCAUUAUAACACAACCUCUUUUCUUUUAACACCUUCUGUUCUUUUAAAAUGUUUUUUUUUUGUUGUUUUUUUUUUAAUCCCCAUUGUAGUCAAGCUGGAGAGAGGUCAGAUGAAUCAGACAUUGGUUAAACCAACAGAGCUGAGAUAAUUUUUGACAGUUAUAUAACCUCCCACCUUCAUUUUAGGAGGUUGCUCAUACCUCUAGCCAGUAGGGCUUCGCACAAGCUCCUAGGGAAAGUUGAGAAGAUAACUACUUAGUGUAUUUAAGACUAUAUAUUAAAUACUCUCAUUAACCCUAGGCAUCUGCAUUCUUCAGACUUUUGAUCAUUUAUGUUCAGAUUGCACCUGUGAGGUAGACUGAUCCUUUUAGAGUUGAGGAGCUGAGGCCCUGUCUUCACUGCCAUGGGGAAGUGUGGCAGCAGCAAGGAUAAGCAUGGCCGUGUUGGUGGCAGUGACCAACUCAGGCACUCAGGCACUCAUGGAAGCAUAGACAAAGCAGCCUGGGAUGCACAAAUCUGUCUGGGACCAUCAGCAUUUAACCUUCACUGAAGCCAUGCCAUUGGAGUGAUUCCCAUCUGCAAUUCCCAAUUUAUAGUAAGUG
rnacentral:lncRNA from 1 species